rnacentral:rRNA from 1 species
AGACCCGAAACCCGGUGAUCUAGCCAUGGGCAGGUUGAAGGUUGGGUAACACUAACUGGAGGACCGAACCGACUAAUGUUGAAAAAUUAGCGGAUGACUUGUGGCUGGGGGUGAAAGGCCAAUCAAACCGGGAGAUAGCUGGUUCUCCCCGAAAGCUAUUUAGGUAGCGCCUCGUGAAUUCAUCUCCGGGGGUAGAGCACUGUUUCGGCAAGGGGGUCAUCCCGACUUACCAACCCGAUGCAAACUGCGAAUACCGGAGAAUGUUAUCACGGGAGACACACGGCGGGUGCUAACGUCCGUCGUGAAGAGGGAAACAACCCAGACCGCCAGCUAAGGUCCCAAAGUCAUGGUUAAGUGGGAAACGAUGUGGGAAGGCCCAGACAGCCAGGAUGUUGGCUUAGAAGCAGCCAUCAUUUAAAGAAAGCGUAAUAGCUCACUGGUCGAGUCGGCCUGCGCGGAAGAUGUAACGGGGCUAAACCAUGCACCGAAGCUGCGGCAGCGACACUGUGUGUUGUUGGGUAGGGGAGCGUUCUGUAAGCCUG